GUGAGGAAUAUUGCGCAAUGGAGGCAACUCUGACGCAGCCAUGCCGCGUGCAGGAAGAAGGCGCUACGCGUUGUAAACUGCUUUUAACCGGGAAGAAACCCCAGGACGUGUCCUGGGUUGACGGUACCGGAGGAAUAAGCACCGGCUAACUUCGUGCCAGCAGCCGCGGGAAUAAGAAGGGUGCAAGCGUUAUCCGGAUUCAUUGGGUUUAAAGGGUGCGUAGGCGGAGCGUUAAGUCAGUGGUGAAAUCCUGCAGCUUAACUGUAGACUUGCCAUUGAUACUGGCGCUCUUGAGUGCGCUUGAAGUAGGCGGAAUGUGCCGUGUAGCGGUGAAAUGCUUAGAUAUGGCACAGAACACCAAUUGCGAAGGCAGCUCACUAAGGCGAUACUGACGCUGAGGCACGAAAGCGUGGGGAUCGAACAGGAUUAGAAACCCCGGUAGUCC
rnacentral:rRNA from 1 species